UGGGGAAUAUUGCACAAUGGGCGCAAGCCUGAUGCAGCCAUGCCGCGUGUAUGAAGAAGGCCUUCGGGUUGUAAAGUACUUUCAGCGGGGAGGAAGGGAGUAAAGUUAAUACCUUUACUCAUUGACGUUACCCGCAGAAGAAGCACCGGCUAACUCCGUGCCAGCAGCCGCGGUAAUACGGAGGGUGCAAGCAUUAAUCGGAAUUACUGGGCGUAAAGCGCACGCAGGCGGUUUGUUAAGUCAGAUGUGAAAUCCCCGGGCUCAACCUGGGAACUGCAUCUGAUACUGGCAAGCUUGAGUCUCGUAGAGGGGGGUAGAAUUCCAGGUGUAGCGGUGAAAUGCGUAGCGAUCUGGAGGAAUACCGGUGGCGAAGGCGGCCCCCUGGACGAAGACUGACGCUCAGGUGCGAAAGCGUGGGGAGCAAACAGG
rnacentral:rRNA from 1 species